GACGAACGCUGGCGGCGUGCUUAACACAUGCAAGUCGAACGGAAAGGUCCCCUUGUGGGGUACCUGAGUGGCGAACGGGUGAGUAACACGAGAGUAACCUACCCUUGACUUUGGGAUAACUUCAGGAAACUGGGGCUAAUACCGGAUAGGAGCUCCUGCUGCACGGUGGGGUUUGGAAAGUUUCGGCGGUUGGGGUGGGACUUGUGGCUUAUCGGCUUGUUGGUGGGGUAGUGGGUCACCAAGGCUUUGACGGGUAGCCGGCCUGAGAGGGUGACCGGCCACAAGGGGACUGAGAUAGGGCCCAGACUCCUACGGGAGGCAGCAGGGGGGAAUAUUGCACAAUGGGCGGAAGCCUGAUGCAGCAACGCCGCGUGCGGGAUGACGGCCUUCGGGUUGUAAACCGCUUUCGCCUGUGACGAAGCGUGAGUGACGGUAAUGGGUAAAGAAGCACCGGCUAACUACGUG
rnacentral:rRNA from 1 species